AAAUGUUUGGGUUGAACAACAGUGGAGCGUUGAAAGACCCUCAUCCAGAACUAUCGGAUCAGGAGCUCUUCUGGGCAGUGGAUCAGUAUGACUUUGUCAUCAUGCUGUGUGCCGGAGAUCUCCAGUGCUUCUGGCACUUUGCUCACUAUGGUCCUGCUGGUGACUGUGUGGCCCUUGAUAGACAUCUGUCUGUGAUUGUUAAUGCUCCGAGCGGAUUAAUAAUCGGCACAGCUGACGAUGAAAGUGCUCAGAUUGUCUUCAGUGUUGAGGAGACUGCAGGUUUUUAUCAGAUGUGCUUCAGUAAUUUCCACAAUCGCUUUGGGAUCAUGCAGGUUUUCCUGAACUUUGGUGUGUAUUACAAGGAAGAGAAGAAAAAGACAAGAGAAGAAAAAGGAAGAAAAGAAGAAAAAGAAAGAAGAGGAUAUGAAACAGAUAAACAGUUCAUUGUCCUUUAUUGGGUGUAUCUCCAGAAACAAGAGAAGCAGUGGAUUCCAGUAACAUGAAGCUCCUGUGAGGACGCUGAACAUCUGCUGAUGGAGCUGCUCUAUUCUGAGAGGAACAGAAUCACCUGAUGAUCAAAUAUGAGUUUCACUGUCCACACUUUAUUCUCUGAAAUGAGUCAGAAGAGUUGGACUAAUGGAGAGAUGAGGUUUGUUCAUGUUCAUCAGUUUAUAAUGAAACACUGUCAGUGUCUGAAGCCUCUGGACUGCUGAGAUCGUCCUUGACUCGGUUAGAGAGUAAGAGCUCCAAGAGUUCAAUCCACAAAACUAUUAAUGAUAUGCUGGAUUCAGAAAACAGGUCACGUCUGUGAGCAGUUGUGUUUGUAUGAAUGAAUGAGGGUGAGUGUGGUCUGAAACAAUGACAAAUUAUGCAAAUUAGACACAAAUAUGAUAUAUAUAGUCUAUAUGUAUAGUCCGAUUGUCAAAUAUGUGCAAGUGGAUGUGUUUUGCUGUUUAAACACCUUUAUAACGAUCGCGUUAGUUGAGCCGUAUGCUCGAUGGGCGCCGCCAUGUUAGUUUGCGCCGCACAGAGAAUCGGAUCUGUUGGAUUUACAACACGUGAAUUCAUCCACUUCUCCCGAAAUACAUGAAAGUAAGUGAGCCGGUGAACUGGGGAAGAAUAGAGUAAACUUUAAAGUUACUUACACAAUGUGUAUCUAUGAAUAAAACGUGUCGUCUAAUUAAAAUGUAAUGUAAUUUACAAACUCUAAAUAUAUUGUUUUGUUAGUACU